rnacentral:lncRNA from 1 species
GGGAAGCUUCUGGAGAAAGCCAGAAGAUGAAAUGAAAUCUCAUCCGUAAAAUAUCUGUACAAGUGGUCUAUCUACAAACACUCUUGGGUCGGGUCAGACGGCCCAAGAACAAAAAUAAAACAGGCUCAGAUACAUGUUCAACCCAAACAACAAAUCAUCACAGCCCAACUCCCACAUGUACAAUGUAUACCAGAAAAUGCAAUAAAUAUACAAUGUAUAUACGGUGUAUACAAUCAUUUAUGCUCUUUCAUCUCAACACCCCCCCUCAAGUUGGAGGGGGAAACCACCUGAACUUGGAUAACAACGGUUGAAGCACAGUGCCAGGCAAUGGCUUAGUGAGCAGGUCAUCCAGUUGACGAGAAGUAGGAACAUGAAGCAGCUUGAGAAAAUCAUUCUGUAGCAGGUCACGAACAAAAUGACAGUCCACCUCGAUGUGUUUGGUACGCUCAUAAAAAACAGGAUUGUUAGCUAUAUGGACAGCAACUAGGUCACAAACAAAAUGGCAGUCCACCUCGAUGUGUUUGGUGCGCUCAUGAAAAACAGGAUUGUUAGCUAUAUGGACAGCAGCCUCACUGUCACAAUAUACCGAAAAAGAAAGAGAAACAGAUACCCAAGAUCAACCAAUAAACGAGAAAGCCAAGAUAAUUAAGCAACAACUUUGCUGAGGGCUCUAUAUUCUGCUUCAGCAGAAGACAAAGAAACAACAGGUUGCUUCUUAGAUUUCCAACUAAUCAGGCAACCACCCAAAAGCACACAAAAACCAGUAACAGAUCUCCUAGUAUCAGGGCAGGCAGCCCAGUCACUAUCAGAAUAACCAACAACAGAGAAAUCAGCACUGGCAGAAUAAAAUAGACCCAUAGCAGGCAGCCCAGUCACUAUCAGAAUAACCAACAACAGAGAAAUCAGCGCUGGCAGAAUAAAAUAGACCCACAGAAGGAGUGCCUUUAAGGUAUCUCAAAACAUGUAGGGCAGCAGUCAUAUGUGGAAGUCUGGGGCAUUUUAGGAAUUGACUCAGAUGUCGAACAACAAAGCAUAUGUCAGGCCUAGUAUGAGUCAGAAACAACAUCUUACCAACAAGACUCCNN